UACUCACCUAAACACACUUUACAAAAAUUAUGAAAGCAAGCCAAGCUUCGUGGUUCUUGUAGGGUUUCCAAACACAUGCAACAUGUGAGUAAUUCGUUGAUUUCAUCAACAGGAACACUUUCCGAUGAAGCACUUGCCAUUUCAAUUAAAUCUUUCUUACUUCACAAUUCAAGAUAACAUAUUUGUGUCUUCUUUCCAACGAAAUGAUCGCAUAAAAUCUUGCCACAAAUACUGUACUGCCAAAUUGAAAGUGUUGCGUUCAUUUAGAAUUGUGAAAUACCCGGAAGGCCGGAAACGUAAAUAUUCUUGGAAUUAAGCCCGCGAUUAGGCUGGGACAGUGACCUCAAUAUAAAACUGGACUGAUGGCAUUAAAGUUGGUUAGCUUUCGGGUAAAUUCUUCAUUUUUAGCCCUCCCUUUCUAAUAGCUCCCUUGAAUUACUCCUUCUCGUUUUUAAGGCAUAUCUGUAGCAUACGACUAGUCGUAUACAAUUCUCAUCCUGG